AGUGAACGCUGGCGGUAGGCCUAACACAUGCAAGUCGAACGGCAGCACAGUAAGAGCUUGCUCUUACGGGUGGCGAGUGGCGGACGGGUGAGGAAUACAUCGGAAUCUACUUUUUCGUGGGGGAUAACGUAGGGAAACUUACGCUAAUACCGCAUACGACCUACGGGUGAAAGCAGGGGAUCUUCGGACCUUGCGCGAUUGAAUGAGCCGAUGUCGGAUUAGCUAGUUGGCGGGGUAAAGGCCCACCAAGGCGACGAUCCGUAGCUGGUCUGAGAGGAUGAUCAGCCACACUGGGACUGAGACACGGUCCAGACUCCUACGGGAGGCAGCAGUGGGGAAUAUUGGACAAAGGGCGCAAGCCUGAUCCAGCCAUACCGCGUGGGUGAAGAAGGCCUUCGGGUUGUAAAGCCCUUUUGUUGGGAAAGAAAAGCAGCAGGUUAAUACCCCGCUGUUCUGACGGUACCCAAAGAAUAAGCACCGGCUAACUUCGUG
rnacentral:rRNA from 1 species